GUAUAAUAUUUUGCAGUUUACUUUUUCUACCUUAGUAGUAUAUUAUCCUCUCAUGACAGUGUAUCUAUAUCUAUCCCUUCUUUGUAACAGAGGAACAGGAUUUUAUUGAAGGUAUUGGCAUGAUUUAUGUAAUCAUUCUUUCUGUUUUCAUUUGAUCUUACUGUUUUCCAGUGUUAUCAUGAACAUCUUUCUGCCUGAAUCUUUGUUUUGCUAUGGUUUUGCUUUAUGAACUUUGUUUCUAGGUUUGUUUGCUUUUUUUUUAAAUAGCCUUUAAGACUUGGAUCUGCUGCAUAAAUUCCUUUAAAGUUUGCAGACAUGUAUUGAGUGUAUUGAUCAGCUGCACUAAGGAGUAAGCACCUGAUGUGAAGCCCCCUUCCAUGAAAAAUCCUUUAAGAAUGGCAUAGUUGUGAAGUUGGAAGGCUGUAUGAAUCACAAAUUGAUUUUACCCCAUCACCACAUCAGCCAAACACCUGCUCUGCCAUUUUGAUUAAGAUUCGUCAUGUAUUUCAUGCCAGUAAUCCCAGCACUUUGGGAAGCCAAGGCAGUUGGAUCACCUGAGGUCAGGAGUUUGAGACCAGCCUCAACAACAUGGUUAAACCCCAUCUCUACUAAAAACACAAAAAAUUAGCCAGGCGUGAUGGCACGCACCUGUAAUCCCAGCUACUUGGGAGGCUGAGGCAGGACAAUCGCUUGAACCCGGGAGGUGAAGGUUGCAGUGAGACGAGAUCGCGCCAUUGCACUCCAGCCUGGGCAACAAGAGCAAAACUCCAUCUCAAAAAAAAAAAAAAAUUAAUCAUGUAUUAAUUGAGAUUUGCAGGGCCGUGUGCUUUAUAUAAAACAAUGCACAAUGCACUAAGCUCCAUGGUGUUUGAGAGACAAAGGAGAACAAGAUACCAUCCCCACCACUGGGUAGUUUAAGAUUAUUGUCUGUAUCCAGUAUAUAGCAAUUGUAAUGAUUUCUAAAAUGUUUUUCUAUUGAGAUACAGUUUACAUGAAAUGAAGUGCUCAGAUUUUGAGUGACAGUUUGAUCAGUUUCAAAGAAUGUGCACACCUAAUCAAGACACAGAACAUUUCUGUAACACCAGAAAAUUCCCUCUUGCCCUUUCCUAAUCAAUCACAAACCCCUCCCCUAUAACCAUUGAUGUCAUUUUUGCCUAUACCUUUAUAUGAAUGGAAUCAUGCAGAAGAUACUAUUUUGGGUAUCUUACUUUGUCUUCCUUGUACCCCUUUGUGAAAUCCUCCCAUGCCUAGACCUCGACAACUGCUGGUCUGUUUUCUGCCCCUGUAGUUUUGUAUGAAUUCUUUACGUAUUCUGUUUGCCCAGGCUGGAGUGCAGUGGUGUGAUCUCAGCUCACUGCAACCUCUGCCUCCCAGGUUCAAGCAAUCCUCCCACCCCAGCCUCCUGAGUAGCUAAGGUUACAGGCAUGUGCCACCACACCUGGCUAAUUUUUUUUGUAUUUUUUAUCAGAUAUGUAUUGUGAAUAAAUACCUAUUGUGAAUAAAAUUCUUUAUUAGAUAUGUAUUAUGAAUAUUUUCUUUCUCCACUUGCAUUUCUGUUUCCUUAGCAGUAUCUUUACAAGAGUACAUUUUUUUUUUUGUAUUUUAAUGGAGUUUAAUUUACCAAUUUUUCCUUUAUGGCUCAUACCUUGGGUAUGCAAAGUAAGAAAUCCCUACCCCCUUGAAGGUAACAGAGAUUUUCUCCUAAGUUUCUUCAUUUUAUUCAUUCCUCCUGUUUUCUUUUAAAUUUGUACUUUUAGCUUCCUUCAUUUAGGUCUGUGACCCAUCUCGAGUUAAUUUCUUGUUCCUAGUAUGAGGUAAAGUUGGUGCUAUUGUUUUUCCCCCAUAAGGAUAUUCAGUUAUUCCAGCACUGUUUUUUUUAAAGACUUCUCUUUGUUCCCUUGGUACUUUUGUGGGAAAAAAAAAUUGACCAUCUUAGUGUGGGUCUAUUUCUGGACUCCGUUCAGUUUCAUUGAUGUAUGUAUCUGUGUCUUCACCAAUACCACACAGUUUUAAUUACAGUAAUUUUAUAUAUCUUGAAAUCAGAUAGUAUAAGACCUCUAGUUUUGUUCUUUUCUAAAGUUGUUUUUGACUAUUCCAGCACUAGAAUUUCUACACAGUUGCUUAUUGGAACUUUGAUGGGAUUGUAUUUAUUUUCAUAAAGGCUCACCUACAAUGUGUUGUAAAGCUUCUGAAAGUAAGUAAUGACUUGUCAGUUUUAAUUGACACUAUGGUUAUGAGUGAAUAUGAGGAUCUUUUGUUAUGUUUGAGGACUAUUUUUCUUUGAACUGUUUUUUUUUUUCAUUUUUCAAAUUUUUUUUAUUA
rnacentral:lncRNA from 10 species